rnacentral:rRNA from 1 species
AGAGUUUGAUCGUGGCUCAGGAUAAACGCUAGCGGCGCGCUUAAUGCAUGCAAGUCGAGCGAUGAGGCUCCUUCGGGGGUACAUCAGCGGCAGACGGGUGAGUAACACGUGGGUGACCUACCCUCAAGACGGGAAUAACGGUUGGAAACAGGCGCUAAUACCCGAUAUACUUCUGGGGUCAGAGCCAGAAGGAAAGCUUCGGUGCUUGAGGAGGGGCCUGCGGCCCAUCAGCUAGUUGGCAGGGUAAUGGCCUACCAAGGCGUAGACGGGUAGGGGGUGUGAGAGCAUGGCCCCCCACAAUGGGACUGAGACACGGCCCAUACUCCUACGGGAGGCAGCAGCAGGGAAUCUUGCGCAAUGGACGGAAGUCUGACGCAGCGACGCCGCGUGGGUGAUGAAGGCCUUCGGGUUGUAAAGCCCUUUUCUGGGGGACGAGGCAGGACAGUACCUCAGGAAUAAGCGUCGGCUAACUACGUGCCAGCAGCCGCGGUAAGACGUAGGACGCGAGCGUUAUCCGGAUUUACUGGGCGUAAAGCGUCUGUAGGCGGUUCUGUAAGUUGGGUGUGAAAGCCCCGUGCUCAACGCGGGGAGGCCAUUCAAUACUGCGGGACCAGAGUAUGUCAGAGGGGGUGGAAUUCCCGGUGUAGCGGUAAAAUGCGCAGAUAUCGGGAGGAACACCAGUGGCGAAGGUGGCCCCCUGGGGCAAAACUGACGCUGAGAGACGAAAGCUAGGGGAGCGAACAGGAUUAGAGACCCUGGUAGUCCUAGCCCUAAACGAUGGAUGCUAGGUGUGGGGCCGAAGGGUUCCGUGCCGGAGCAAACGCGGUAAGCAUCCCGCCUGGGGAGUACGGCCGCAAGGUUAAAACUCAAACGAAUUGACGGGGACCCGCACAAGCAGCGGAGCGUGUGGUUUAAUUCGAUACUACACGAAGAACCUUACCUGGGUUUGACAUGAAGGUGGUAGGAACGCGAAAGCGGUCUGACCCUUCGGGGAGCCUUCACAGGUGCUGCAUGGCUGUCGUCAGCUCGCGCCGUGAGGUGUCGGGUUAAGUCCCGUAACGAGCGCAACCCUUGCCCUUAGUUACAAGUGUCUAGGGGGACUGCCGGCGGGAAGCCGGAGGAAGGUGGGGAUGACGUCAAGUCAGCAUGGCCCUUAUGUCCAGGGCUACACACACGCUACAAUGGUCAGUACAAAGAGCAGCGAAGCCGCGAGGUGGAGCGAAUCUCAGCAAAGCUGGCUGUAGUUCGAAUAGCAGGCUGCAACUCGCCUGCUUGAAGCUGGAGUUGCUAGUAACCGCGCGUCAGCGAUAGUGCGGUGAAUACGUUCCCGGGUCUUGUACACACCGCCCGUCACGUCAUGGGAGUCGGUAACGCCUGAAGCCAGCAGCCUGACCGUAAGGGGGGCGUUGUCGAAGGCGGGACUGGCGACU